rnacentral:rRNA from 1 species
AAACAUUUCUUUUAGAUAAAAAUUUAAAGUUAGUUCUGCUCAAUGAUUUUAAAUUAAAUAGCUGCAGUAUAUUAACUGUACAAAGGUAGCAUAAUAAAUUGUUUUUUAAAUGAAAACUAGAAUGAAAGAAUAAAUGAAAUAUAAACUUUAUUAAUAAGUAAUUUUGAAAUUUAUUUUUAAGUUAAAAAGCUUAAAUAAUUUAAUGGGACGAUAAGACCCUAUAGAAUUUUAUAAAAUUUUUAUUAUAAUAGUAAUAUAAAUUUUAUUAAAAAUUUUAUUUUUUUGGGAGGAAAUUAAAAUUUAUAAAACUUUUAAAAAUGUAGUACAUUGAUGAAUGGAAAUUAAUAGAUUUUAUAUAUUAUAAAUUUUAGAUUAAAUUACCUUAGGGAUAACAGCGUAAUAUUUUUUGAUAGUUCAUAUUGAAAAAAAUGUUU